UACACAAUUUUACCUAAUCAAAAUGGAACUAGUACUACUGGAGGAGGUGGUGGACUAGUACUAGCAGCUAAAAAUAGGCCAUGUCCAUUUUAUGUCAUGCAAGAAAAUCUUGAAUCAUCAUCCAAUGGCCUUCCAACAAGAUUCAUCCCUGUUGACAAUAAACAACAAGUCAUAAAUUUAUCAACUGAUUUAAACAUUGUGUUUUUUGCUGCCACAAUUUGUGUGCAGUCCACAGCGUGGAAGGUCAGUGGCAUGGACGAGAUAACGGGCAGGAGGUAUGUCAUGAGUGGUGGCAUGACUGGCCGGCCAGGGCUUGAGACAAUAAGCAAUUGGUUUAGAAUAGAAAUGUAUGGGAAUAAUGGGAGUUAUAAGAUUGUGUUUUGUCCUGGAGUUUGUAGUAAUUGUAAGGUAGUGUGUGGGAAUGUUGGUGUUUUUAAUGAGAAUGGGAAGAGGUGGCUUGGAUUGAAUGAUGAACCACUUGUUGUAAGGUUCAAAAAAGUGUUGAAUUAGUAUCAAAGAAUCGUACUUUUUAUUUAUUUUCUUGGCUCCUCUUCUAAUUUCUUUUAUAGUUUGGGUACUACAUGUUAAACUCUAGUAGAUUUAGAAAUACGAACCCUCCGCCUCAAAAUACUUGUUGAGUUUCGUUUUUCGAGAGUUUGUUUGAACUAAAUCGAAUUAGAUUAAUUUAAUAUUUUGAAGUUAAUAUUUAUUCAAAAACUAUAUAAAAAUAUUGUAAUUUGUGAUUCACCUAGUAUCAAUAUGGUGAAAAUUACAUCUUAAAAUGUUUGUCAAAAUUUAUGUAGUAUGACUCUCUAAAUAAGAAAUGUAACAAAUAAUUUAGAAAGAAGGAAGUAUGAUUUCUUUUUUCGAGAUUGAGCUAGCAAAGUUCUAUGCCGAAGGCAUUGAAUGGCUGAGUAACCCAAUUCUGGACUAUAAAAUAUACUAGUAUUUAAUCUGUUGGAUUAUGAGUAGGCAAUUUACCAAAGUUCUUUUCUUUAUUCUUAUGCAUUUUUUGAUAGAACUUGAGCGACACUUAAUGUCUCUUACGAUGUGUGUCAAGUGAAUAGUGGACAAGUACAAUGCAUGGGGGCAAUGGAGGACCAAACAAAUUUGAGUUGGGGUGAGGCUUACGAACUGGCAUCAAAUUUAUUUAAAAUUUAACAAGUCACAGAUUUGGUACCCACGAAGGGGAUCGGAGCUUGAAUUAACUAGUAAAGUUAUUGUCAUGUUAUUAGGAGGUCACAAGUUCAACUCGUGGAAACAACUCCUUGCAGAAAUGUAAGGCGAGGCUACAUAUGAUAGACCCCUUAUUGUCGCGCAUAGUGGGAGCUUUAAUGCACCGGGCUUGCCCUUUUACAGUUUUGGCACCCACAAAAGUAGCUAAAAAAUGGCUUAGCUGCAGUUACUAUAUCUCUGUUGAAGACACUAGAGCAGCUCUGGCAACUCAAUCUAUGUUCAAUUCACCCAAAAAGAAUAAAUGAAAUUGAAUCUCUCUGAAAGGGUCAAUUUCUUGUGAACCUUUCUUGAAGACUCGAGGAAAGAAAGUAAUAAUCAUGAUGAUAUGCCACAUUUAGAAAGAUGUACUAGAGAUGUGUCAUAUAGAUUUAUAGUCUAUGAGUGCAAUCUUUAAGAUUCUUAGCAUUGAACCUAUUUUUCGCUUUAAAUUAUGGGUUCGGAGUUCAGUCUUAGCUUCCGUUUGAUCAUAGAUUUUGAAGUUGAAAAAUAGAAAUUUGAGCUUUUGAACUUUGUGAAUGGAAGUCCAAAAACUCAACUAGCCAGAUUUCGGGAAUUUAAAAAUAUUAGAAAGAUCAAAUUUUCAAAAUGAUCAAAUUUCAUAGUCAAAUAGAUAUUUGGAAAUAAUUUUCAAAAUCUAAUAAAAAAUCUAUGGUCAAACGCUAGUUUACUAGUAUUUGUCAUAAUUUUAUACAAAUUUAUAUUCACCGUUGAAAGUCUAGAACCUAAUGCUGGAAUGUUGCAUUCGCGCAUGCCUGUAGAGCAGAAGAUAUACACGAGGAACUAAUGUUUAAUUAUUUAGUUGGUUCAAGUUCAAGGAAACUCAAAGCAGAGAGAAUUUUAUUGUGUUAUCUAUCGGAAAUGAGAGCUAUACAAGAAGAUUCAAUCCAUUAUAUUGAUGCUGUGAUAAUAUCAUAAUAAGACUUUAUGACAAAGUACAUACCUUCAAAGUCUUGAAAGCUGAGAGAUUUUCCUUUAUCUCAAGGUACAUCACGUAUACCAUCUGUUUAGAUGAUGAUGAUUUCAUUAGAAUUGUUUGUCAAUUAACAGGGCGGGCAGCCACCCAAACUUGUAGUCGUAACGGUGUUUGGUAAAACUAUACACGUAAAG
rnacentral:lncRNA from 1 species